rnacentral:rRNA from 1 species
CCUACGGGGGGCAGCAGUGAGGAAUAUUGGUCAAUGGGCGCGAGCCUGAACCAGCCAAGUCGCGUGAGGGAAGACGGUCCUAUGGAUUGUAAACCUCUGUUGUCGGGGAGCAAAAGACGCCACGCGUGGCGUUCCGAGAGUACCCGAAGAAAAAGCAUCGGCUAACUCCGUGCCAGCAGCCGCGGUAAUACGGAGGAUGCGAGCGUUAUCCGGAUUUAUUGGGUUGAAAGGGUGCGCAGGCGGAAGAUCAAGGCAGCGGUAAAAUUGAGAGGCUCAACCUCUUCGCGCCGUUGAAACUGGUUUUCUUGAUUGCGCGAGACGUCUGCGGAAUGCGUGGUGUAGCGG